rnacentral:rRNA from 1 species
AACGCAGGUGGUUUGGUAAGUCAGGGGUGAAAGUCCACAGCUUAACUGCGGCACUGCCUUUGAUACUACCUUUCUUGAGUGCAUGAGGGGGAAGCGGAAUUCCGAGUGUAGAGGUGAAAUUCGUAGAUAUUCGGAGGAACACCGGUGGCGAAGGCGGCUUCCUGGCAUGUAACUGACACUCAUGUUCGAAAGCGUGGGGAGCAAACAGGAUUAGAUACCCUGGUAGUCCACGCCCUAAACUAUGGGCACUAGGUGUGGGAGGUAUCGACCCCUUCCGUGCCGCAGCUAACGCAUUAAGUGCCCCGCCUGGGGAGUACGGCCGCAAGGUUGAA